GCGAAUGCAAUUGAUGUGCGCCAGCAUCCCGGCCCGGGCUCAUUGGUAGUGACACGUCCUCGGCUCCCCGGGGCGGGGGGCGGGGGGUAGCAGGACCCCGACGGUUAGGCCAGGCGUUCUGCAGGGCAAGAGCUCUCAAUCCCCGCGCAACUAGUCCUCUUGUUGCCUCAGAUAAGCCAAGGCAAGAUAAGGCAAGAAGGGGAAGCAAGACACGUAGCAGCUUCUCACACCACAGGGCAGAAGAACAGGAUCCACUGACAGACAUCAUCAUAUAAAUCUUCAAGGUAUACAAGUGACUUCACAGUCUAUGGAGAUUAUGUGAACCUACACCUGUGUCUAGAGAAACUACCAGUGGUGCAAUCAAGAUGUGCAGUCAAGUGAGAAAACCCAACGUUGCAAAGAGCAAAGGCAGAAAAGCACAAGAUAAGUAGAACAACUCAAUACUUAGCAAGAUGAGAGAGCUAAUAAAACAGAAGGAAAACAAAGCAGUAGUAACAGUGCUUAACUGACAUGAUUACUGGAGGCUUGCAACCUGGUGAAGCACUUAGUACUCAGUGUUCAUCGACAACAACAACAACAACAACAACAACAACAAUACCAUUUAAACCUCACCAGCAUGGAAGGUCAUCUAAAGCAGGAGCUUUGACUUUUAUGUUCACUAUUACAUUUUCAGCUGGUAGGACAGUAUGAGGUAAUGCUUCUGAGAACAUCCCCUAGGAAAGGUGACAUCUCUCCCUACUGAAGUUUGUGACAUGGAUUUCAGAGUCUUAGCACGCAUUUCCUAGAAAAUCCCAAUGAAGAGAGAUAGCCAUCGAAUUGAACAUGGAUCUAUCCAUCUGUAGGAAACAUUUAAGGGCUCUAAGGAAGAUAGUGAAAGGAUCAUGUCUGAACUUUAGAAUGAUCACUCUGAUUGAUGCAGGGAAUUGAUCAGAUGACUUCAGAUUUCAGACAAAGAGAGACUAAGGAGGCUAUUAUACUAAGUCAAGCAAAAGGCAAUAAUCGCCCAUGUCUGAAUAGCGGCAGAGGGUAAUAUGCAGUGAAUAAAUGUGUGAUCAAGUAGGAUUAGAGUCCACAGGAUGUGGGUAUUUGAUGUAUGAAGAGAUUGAGAGGUCAGAGGAGAUUAACACCCAACUUUAUGAAAACGUCAUUUCCUGAAAUAAGGGCUUAGAUGGUAAAGAUGAUGAGUUCCAUUUUGUCCAUAUGGAAUUUCGAGCAAUUACAAAUCACACAAAAGAAGAUUUUAAGAGUGCAUUUGGAUAUAUCAGUUCAAAGCUCAACCAAGGGACUCAGACAUGAACAUAUCUGCAAAAUGAGAGUGUGGAGAUGAAAUGAUUUUGAGGAAACAUAUAGAGGGAAAAGGAGUAAGGUCCUAAGACAGAAUCAAACAGAGAGGGAACAUUUAAGAUACCAGCUCACCAGUAAGAUUAAGAAGGAAGAGUCAGAAAACAAAUUUAAGAAGAAGAUAGAAAUAUGAAUGUCAAAGCCAAAACAUUCUAAGACAGAAAAAGUGACUUUGAACAUAUAGGUAAGGAAGUAAUUAAGGGUAAAAAUGGCCAUUGAAUUUCACAGCAUGUACGUCAAAGGUGAGGGCAGUGACAGUGGGGAGGUGAGGACAAGAUAAGCAAGAACAGGUUAUAUUGGAUUUGGAUAGAGAGGGAACUAGGGAAAGUGAGAGAGCCUUAAAGGUGAUGCGGGCCUGACACCUCUGAAGGAAAGCAGGAAGGAAGGAAUUUUGGCGGGAGAAGACUGAUUGCAGUACGGUUCCACAAAUGUUUAGCUGAGGCCCCUGGAAAGUGUGUAAGCCAGAGAGUUCCAAUGGAGGAACCCCACAUCUCACAGGCAUGAGCCUAUGUGGGUACCCAGCCAUGUGCAAGCCCUGAGGGGCAAGAGGAGCUGUGAAACCAGAGCCAGUGGAUGUGAAGCAGCAGUUGGUCUGGCAGUUGGCUGCAUUCCCACAGGAGGUGUAACCAACAUCUGCAUGGUAUGCUGGGCCAGGAUGUUAGAGACCACACAAAUAUAGCACCUAAAGGGAAUCAAUAGAAUGAGGUUCCCCAACAAGGUGACAGACAUAUAAUAGGACACAAGCAGGGCGUUGGUUUGAGGCAAGAUGAGGAAGAUUGCUUGUUCUGGAAUCACUAUUCUUUCAGAGAGGUGAUGGUAGAUGAACAUCAGUGACUAGGUCCUCCCACGGCAAUAUUUCUACUACUGCAGCAUAAAGAGCAGAUAAGCAACUGACAUGGAUGCAAGGACAUCAUCUAAGUCUUUAUAAAAAUAGUCCUACAACCAAAUAGUUUCUGUAUUAACUGUUGGCUUGUCAAUAUCCUAAAAUUUGUGGACGGGAGUCAUGUUAGCUUUUGGAUUUUCUGUGAUUUUAAAUGUUACUAUUUUGCAUAGGAUUACCAACUUAAAAUGUAUUUUAGUGACCAAAGAUCAUGGUCUUAAUCCAGUUGCUCGCUGUGAAUGCCUUUAUGGUAGAGCUCCUUCUGUAAGCAAACCGUAAGGCAGGAAUUGAUUAUUUUAUCAUUGUCCUCAAUGUUAAAUUUCUAAAAAAGCAACUCAUGGAUGGAGCAUUAACUUAAUUUUACUCAGGGUCCUUUUCUAUAAACAUCUACACACAGAGUUUGUAUUCUAUACGCAUUAGACAAUCUUACUAAGAAAAAAUUGAUUAUACUAUGACAUCAAAUUGUAGGAAAUUAUUCUGAUUUUAUUAAUGUGUUCUAUUUUUCUUCACAAAGAAAGAAAAAGGAAAGUGAUUUAUUUGCAUGCACCAGUGGAUAAAUUUACAUUUAGCUGUUUUGCUCAUAUGUACUGUAGUACAAGCCAAGAAACAUGGUAGCGUGGAAGAGUUUGUCUUUCAAACAAAGAGCGGUUGUUUGGGGUUCAACAAGCUGCCUGUACUAUGGUCUUAGAAAAGAAAUUUAACCUCCCUGUGUCUGUGUUC